rnacentral:rRNA from 1 species
UCUUACGGGAGGCAGCAGUGGGGAAUAUUGGACAAUGGGGGAAAGCCUGAUCCAGCAAUGCCGCGUGUGUGAAGAAGGCCUUCGGGUUGUAAAGCACUUUUAUCAGGAACGAAAUCUGCAGGGUUAAUACCCGGUAGUCUGACGGUACCUG